GAAGUUCAGUAGCUCAGUUGGCAGAGCGAUGGGACGGUACCCCACGGUCCCGGGUUCAAGUCCCGGCGGCCUCU